AUAUGGGUCUGAAUGUGGAGGGCAGCAACUUCUUUUGUUCACUUCUGAUGUAUAAAGAUCUCUAGAGACCAUUCUCAAGCAUCUACUCUCAGAUCUUCAUUCACACUGAGGUGUUGAUGACUGGUUACUGUCCAACACAGCUAUUCUCAUUAGAGUGUGAGGUAUGUGGAAAUUAACUUGUUACUAAUAAUAGAAUGCUGAGUUUCAAAUACUUCACUUUUUAAUAAAUGUGAGUU
rnacentral:lncRNA from 1 species